rnacentral:tRNA from 1 species
CGGGGUGUAGCGCAGCUGGUAGCGCGCCUGCUUUGGGAGCAGGAUGUCGGGGGUUCAAGUCCCUUCACUCCGACCA